rnacentral:rRNA from 1 species
CAAUAUGAGUUACACAAUUUCCUCAUUAUUUUGUUUACCCACAAGGAGACCUCUUUUCCGCACUCAUUUUUGUCCUCACUACUGAUUUGCUCCAAUCCAUUUUCAAUGAAGCUUUGGACAACAAUUUGA